ACAGAUCUCAAAGAAUCAAUAGACCGGAAACACUGAUGUCUCUCUCCUAUCAAAGGUGUACCACGAUUACUUUUUCGGGAGCAGUUUUAAAGGGAUGCCUCUGUUCUGACAUAAAGGCAGGCUCUCCACUGAGUGUGGAGCUUCUUGGUGUGCCGGCUUCAUUCAUAAUUCAAAAUAACUGCACAACGGCUGACACGUGGUAGCUGAUGAUGCUCUUAUGUUGGUCAGAGUCUCAGUAUGAACCAGAAUCAACAGUCACGUAGUGUUCCUGUGACUCAGCUGGUUCUGAAAAACAUCUUUCACUGGCUGGAGUUAUUUGAAAGCAACAAUGUGCCCACACUGUGCCCAUGUGUUGUAGGUUACAGAGGAAAGAAAAGUGCAAUGUGAGUCUCUUUAUCAAAUAGCUAAGUGCAACAAUAAUAUAUAGCAAGUAAAGAAACUAGAUUUCACACGUUUUCUUUAUAGCCUUGAAAGUUUUUAUUCUCUGCACUGCACACGUUUUAUCUUGGAGAAGACUCUCCUGUUCUGUGUGACACCGGAGUUCCCUGUGGGGGAACGAGCUGCCAUCUGAAACUAAACUUUUACACCAGAGUUAUCGCAUAUGUGCAGGAUUUUAUUCAAACAUGAAAACACAAGCACAACUAGCUGCCGGAGCUGAAGGACAUUUUUCUCAUAUCGUGUGGUUGAUUACUUCCAGUGUGCUUCUAAUUUGAAGAGGAAUUCAUAACCUCGUCUCCGUUGUAACCCUGAUACUGUAAUAUGAAACUCAAUUAAACUCCACUAGGUUUGUGCUGAA